AAUCUAUGCAUAGGACAUUUCCUAAGAAAAUAUUUGAACCUUUCCCAUGCUUCAUACAAUGUUUCAUCCUCUAGUUGCUUAAAGGAUGUUAUGCCAUUUCUCACAGU
rfam:Gossypium hirsutum cultivar TM-1 chromosome 18, whole genome shotgun sequence